rnacentral:rRNA from 1 species
UACGAAGGGGGGCUAGCGUUGCUCGGAAUCACUGGGCGUAAAGCGCACGUAGGCGGCUUUUUAAGUCAGGGGGUGAAAUCCUGGAGCUCAACUCCAGAACUGCCUUUGAUACUGAGAAGCUUGAGUCCGGGAGAGGUGAGUGGAACUGCGAGUGUAGAGGUGAAAUUCGUAGAUAUUCGCAAGAACACCAGUGGCGAAGGCGGCUCACUGGCCCGGUACUGACGCUGAGGCACGAAAGCGUGGGGAGCAAACAGGG